AGCAGCCGCGGUAAUUCCAGCUCCAAUAGCGUAUAUUAAAGUUGUUGCAGUUAAAAAGCUCGUAGUUGAAUUUCGGGACCAAUAUGUCGGUCGUGCCUCGGUACGUACUGGUGUCAUUGGUUUCUCUCUUCUGAGGAUCCUUGAUGUCAUUAAUUUGGUGUCUUGGGAAAUCAGGACUGUUACCUUGAAAAAAUUAGAGUGUUUAAAGCAGGCAUCCGCUUGAGUACAUUAGCAUGGAAUAAUGAAAUAGGACGUUCGAUUCUAUUUUGUUGGUUUCUAGGAUCGAUGUAAUGAUUAAUAGGGAUAGUUGGGGGCAUUAGUAUUCAAUUGUCAGAGGUGAAAUUCUUGGAUUUAUUGAAGACUAACUACUGCGAAAGCAUUUGCCAAGGAUGUUUUCAUUAAUCAAGAACGAAAGUUAGGGGAUCGAAGACGAUCAGAUACCGUCGUAGUCUUAACCAUAAACUAUGCCGACUAGGGAUCGGAUGAUGUUAAUUUUUUAAUGACUCAUUCGGCGCCUUACG
rnacentral:rRNA from 1 species